CACAGUUAAAUUUGUUUAUUCGCAAUUUAAAAUACAUUGCAUUAAAUGUUAAAAAAAAACUGUUUUAAAGAAACUGGAAAAACUAUUAUUUAGGAAUAUGUGUGUAUCCUUAAUUUUGUAUUGUUCGUGCCUGGUUGGGUUUGAUUAACUUAUUUUAAGUAAGAGGAGAUACAAUACAUUUAUAAUAUAUUUGAGUAGUUUGAAUUAUGGUUUUAAUCCAAAGUGGUAUUUGGUAUGUUUAUUUUUAGAUUGUAUCAGAUUAAUAAACAAAUCAAUGCAUUAGUAUAAACCUAGGUAAGUACUUGAAUUAAAACUUUAGGAAAAUCUUUUAGUUUUAUCAGUGCCUAUUAUGCUCCGUUUAAGAUUGUAAUCUAUGUAUAUGUAAGCAAAACAUUAUUUAAUUAAAUUCGCUUUUCACACAAAAAACGAAAAUAAAAAACAUUUAAGAAAAAAUAUAGGAUUAGGAAAAUGACAUACAGUUUAGGACAAAACAUUUGCUACUCAAAGUAAAACUAAACAAAUUGUUAGUUUCGUUAAAAUUUUAAUCAAUAAUAAUCAAAUAAUAUUUUCCUCGUGAUCCCGAUCAUAUCAUUGUUUUAUUAGCUUUACAACAAUAGUAGGAUUUUGUUUUGUUAUUGUUUCGCAAAUAAAAGCAAUGAUCUCACUCAGUAAAAAAAUUAAGUAGCAUAACUUUCAAAAUAAAUACAACUACCUACCUCGAAAAAGAUCAAUUGGCUAUGGGCAGAAUUGGACUUAAGAUGGUGAGAUAAUUGAGGUCACUCCUACACUCCUUUUCUUCAGAAUAGGUACACAACUUUUCAAAUGUUCGUUAAAUUUGUCCCCAAUAGUGGUGCUUGACAUAACAAGGUUUUAUUGUUUUUUGAUAGUUUAAGAUGUUAGGAAAAGCAACGGCUAAAAUUAUUUCAAAAUGGACCAUAACUUUGCCAUUGUUUUUCUUGUAAAGUAUUUUUUUAAGGAAAACUUAACUAAUUUUUUUCUUUAUCAGAAUAAGUACACCCUUGUUAUCUUUAAUGUUUUUGUGGAUUUCGAGCAAAUUUAUCAUUAAAACAAAUAACUGGACUUUUCUAAGUGUAAUUUAAUAAUCAUACUACCAUUUUGAAAAACAUGGGUGGAUUAAAAUCGUUAAGUUUUGGCGAAAACACCUUCAGAAAUAAAACAAACAAUGAAGGAUGCACCAGUACUGGUGUGGUUAAAAUAAAUUACGAGUUGUGAAUAUGCUCUAUCUAGACUUCAGAUACAAAUAUUCUGGGGGUACAAAAAAUGAAUAGUGGUAAAAAUAAUGUAAAAAACAUCACUUUAAGGGCCAUUUUGUUCACUCGAAGUUUAACAUAACUUGAGGAUUUUUAUCUUCAACUUCCCAAUUUGCUUUUGUUCACUGAAAGUUGACGUUUUUAACUUUCGAUUUUAAACUCGAGAGUUUAUCAACUUCCAGUUUUCUCAACUUCCCGAAAAAAGUAGAAGUUAGGCAACCAAACUUGAGAGUUUGCUUCAAGAUAAUUUUUUUUUUUAUUUUUCUGUCAAAAUUUUGUUUGGCAGUUAUUAUGUUAACGAAUAAAGAACAAAUUGAUUAAAAAAAUAAAACAUAAAAUAGAGAAAGAAUUGUAUUGUAUAUUUUACUAUGUAUUUUUAUUAAAAUCUUUAUAUUAAAUCAUUCUGUUUUAGACAAAACUCAUUUUUUCUGGUGUUAUGGAUCUUGAAGUAUAUGAUUUUGUAGUUUUUUUCUUGAAUUUUUUUUUAAGUUUCUGUUUAAGAUCACUCCCGAUGGGGCAAAGGCUUGAAUAAUUUCACUAUUCACUUCUAUCCAAUUCCAUACACUUCAAUUAUUCCGCAUUUAGGUAUAUUAUUAACACCCACAAAAAAGUUAAAUUCUAUCAAAUGAAUUCGUACGCUAAAAUCGAUUUGAUUUGGAUUUGUAAUUCUUGAAAAACGGCGCACAUACAAUCGGACAGAAAUCGAUUCGUUGUUAAUAAUAAAAAGAAUUCGACAUUUUGAAGACCAAAUACAACAAAAACCUUUAUAAAAUUCUAACUGACGUAAAACAUUCAAAAUAUGAUUAUAAACUGACAGUUUUUGUGUUUACUGUCACAAAUAUCCCAAGGUUAUUUUCAAAACUGAAAGUUGGCCAACUUUUGUUUUUUAAACUCGAGAGUUAAGAAAAAAAUAGUGAACAAAAUAGAUUCUUAACUUUUGUUUUAACUCUCGAGUUAAAGUCAACUCUCAAGUUUGUCAACUUGAGAGUUUGCUUCAAGUUGAUCAAUAGUGAACAAAAUCGCCCUAAGUAAAUUCUUUUUGGUGGAUUAACGAAAGAAUAAAAGUGAAAAACAGUUGUUAUUUGUAAUUAUUGGACAGUAAAUAGAAUGGUCAUUAGUCCUAAUCUUCUAAAAUGGCUGAAUUUUAAAAAGACACCAUCACUAAACAAAAAACAGAAUUGUAUGCGUUUAAGAUUUUUGAAAACCCUUACCAUAUGAAAGUUGAGUUUUCUUGUUAUUUUUGGAUUAACGAACAUUUAAUUUUGAUGUCCUUGGUGAGUUAAACUAUCAGUUUAACAUUCUGCGAAAGGAGAAACCAUUUUGAGACCAACUUCAUUGUUAAAAAAGAAGUGUUAAGGCAUGGAAGAAAGAAAUCUACUACGAUAAUACAAAUAAUGAAUUUCAAACGUGAAGAAUGGUCACAAUUAUUGGUAAAUGAAUAUUCAAGAAACUUUUCCUUAAUUCUCUCAUAUUUGUGAACCAGUAUACAGAAUUUUUCAACAAAAUCACGCCUCCUGCCACAAAAAUUGCUCUGUAAAAUAUUGGGGAGUUCAUCUGUUUCUACCAUAGGAAACAACCCUCAAUCUUGUUGAAAAUGUUUGGAAAUGGCUAGUCCGUACUGAUAAAAUUUGUGGUAGUCGAUUAUAAGACAAAAAUAUUUCCUAAACCACCAUUUAACAAUUUAGGGCCAGUUGUACAAAUAUUUAAUCCGUGGAUCAGCAACUUUUAUCUUCUGAAAUCGGUAGCAUGGCUGAAGUUUAGCAUUGAUUCAAGGUCCAUAUAUGUAGAAAUAGCCACAUUCAUGCUUGAACCGAAGUUGACCCGCAGCUUAUCCGCUGCGGUGGGUUAAGUUUCUGAACCAAGGCUGACCCACGUUUGUACAACUGGCACUUAGGGAAGAGAUUCAGAUAGAUUGCAUAACAAGAUUUAACAAUGCAAUACCUGGACAGUUUUGUUAUUUUUUUAUAAAUAAAAACGCCACUAUACAAAAAAUAAAAGAAGUAAAAUACAUUUUUAAGAAGAACUUGGUUUAAAUUCAUUUCAUGGACCACUUUCUCUAUUAUUAUUUCUCUAUUAUUUUUUCAAGCUAAUUUUUAGGUUUCCUAUCAACACUCCAAAUUAUGCUAUUCACCGAGAUUCAGGCCUACCUCAAAUCUUCUUGAAAAACUCAAAGGCUACGCCGAUUACAUGAUCAAAGUAAUGAAGCGGUCCGACCAAAACUUGCAAAAAAGAAUCCUUAAAAUUUGGUUUAGUUGUGAAUAGUCCGGUCAAAACUGGUAUGAUCUUGCUGUAACACAUAACUUUUCAAUGUCAUUGCCAGUGGAAAAUGUGGAAGCAUUAAAAAAUUCUUUAUAUGAAUGUAUCUCUGUCAUAGAUGACUCGAUAUAUAGGCUGAAUUAUAGACCCUGUGUGUUUCCUUUGCAACCUUAGUCAAAACGUGAAAUAGCUAUAACUCCAGCCUAUGAACUUGGUGGUAACACAUACAAGUUGUUGUUGUUCAUUCAAAACCUUCAUUAUAAAUUGAUUACACAAGCAGCUGCCUGCAAGUAUGAAAAUACACAAACCUCUUCAAAACGAAGAUGUUUUGCAUUUUUUAGCACUUUCUCCAAAAUUACCGGAUAUCCGAAUGCUUUAAUUUUGUUCUAGUUUUCUUUCCCAAGAGGAAUGUGUCGGUGUACUAAACGCAAGAAACUAUCGAAACGAGUAAGUGUUUGAAUUUAUUUUGAGUUGUAACAAGAUGUUAAAGUGAUUAUAUCUUCUCCUUUUUUUUCGUUUUAGCCAAACUAAAAGCCCUUCCAAUUAGAAAAGAAAAAAAAAGAAGAAAAAACUUGUGAAAUAAUGCAGUCUUCUUCCUAUUUUUUUUUUUCUCACAUAUAAAUUAAUAUCUGUUUAAGCUAAACUAAAAGCCCACUACCAAUAUAUUUCUUUUUGUUUUAACUAAAGUAAAAGUCACACUUUUAAAUGAACAUAUAUGUAUCUACCUGUUAUUGCAUUUGUAUACUGUACAGGGUGUCCCGGAAUGAGAUAAGAAGAUUUUGUGGAAAAAAUGGUAAUAUCUUUUUUUAUUGCUCAGAUACUAAUUAUUAAAUGGAAUUAGUUUUUUCUUAUCUAUAAUAAUUUUUGACUUUGGGCCGAUUUUCUUCGAUAAAUGUAUUAUAAACAUAUGGGCAUAUUUAUAAGAUUUUUGUCUACUUAAACACUGCUUAACUUUUUUCAAAUUGUGGGAAAUAUGCUUUAUUAAAUAAAAUUAAAUAAUAAACUAUUCAAGAUUAAGACAAUCCAUACACAAGCUUGACAGCUAUAAGACAGCUACAAACAUGCUUUUUGAACACAUUUUCCAAAUUUAAGCAGUUUAAGCUUAAUAGAGCCCGUUUAUUCUAUCUAUUGUCCCUUUUUUAAUGAUGGUUCAGAGAAUACAUUCUUCUUGUUCAACAAGAAGUGCUGUUGAUGUCAAAUAAGUAACGCGCAUGGGCGAUUUUUUUCGGAAUUUAUGUACUAGAAUCCUAUUCGGGACUUAGGUAUGUCCCUCACUACUGCGACAUAAGACCAAAAAAAUCAAUUUCGGGACUCAUUUCCCACAUGUAUUUUUUUUUUAAAUUUUUGCGUAUACCUAAAGAGACAAGUGAAUAUGACCACUGCUGAUGAAAUAGUAGAACCUAUCUUGAUUUAUUUUUUUCGGUAGUACCUACUCCAAUGCAAAGUACAAUUACAAGAUGUUGAAAAACAAAAAAGAAGCUUGCAAACUUAAUGGUUAGUCGAAAUUACAUCGUGACAAAAUAAGAUCAUGGAAAGUGAAAGUCUUUUUGAAAAUAUUUUUGAUAUGUAUUUUUUUUUUUUUGAGUUGGUAACAGGGUAGAGCGGAAAAACAUUUGGUCACAUGAGAAUCUAUUUAAUUUGUACAACCCAAACGCGAAGCGGAAAAAAAUUUUGCCCAGGGGAGAAUCAAUUUUGAGUUAAAUAGAUUCUCACGUGAGCAAAUGUUUUUCCGCUUCGCUUUUGCCAAAUUAUAACACUUCACUUAGAUACAAACAUUUGCGUAUGCCUGGCGAUGUAACAUUACCUAAGCAGAGGAACAAACUUGCAUGAGCGGUCCACUUUGGAUAUUUAAAGUCGCCAAUGUCGGCGUCUUUUUAACUAACUAAAACCUUGCCUGGCUCGCUUCACGGGUUCUCAGUAUUUUAAAUCCCUUUUAGGGUCCUCUGUCCCGCUAAACUGUGCCUUGUCCCGUGGAUGUUAAUUCCAAAUUAAAUGGAACAAACAUAAACGGGGGUUAGUUCCGUGGGUGUUACACUCUUUUCAGUUUUUUGAAAACUGAAUUUCCAAAUAAACUGCUGAUUUUCAAGAUUCUGUAAAAAGUCAAAUUAAAAACUUGCGAUUCUUUUUCUUCUUAUUUAACUUCUUCUUGGUGAAAUGGGAUUUAAUGGAAUUAGAUUCCCACCUAGCAUGGGAACUUACUCCACUUUACUACUAGGGUUUCGUUCCCAGUCAGUGGGAACUAACUACCUCAGUGGACUUAGUUCCCGUGUACUUAGUUCCCUGCACCGCCGAUAUAUCCUUUUUUCCAAAAGAACUAAUAAAUACACUUGAUCUCCUAUACCUAGACAAAAUGAUGUGUAACAAUAAAAACGGCACACUUUGGUGUGUGCACCGCUUCUUCUUCUCCACAAAAGAGUAAAUCGUGCAAACGAACAAAAAGAAACUGGUUGUGCAAGCUCUGCGCGUAUACGUAUCUACUUCUUUUCUUCUUUUUAUUUCUUUUUCUUAUAUCCCUAACAAUCGAACGAUGUUCGUUCAAAGUUCAAACAUUUUCCUAGGUCUGAGUUUUUUCUAUUGCAUUUUUAUUCGAAGAUGCGAAUCUUCGAAUCUGAGUUCGAACUUUUGUCCGGAGGCCUCUUAAAUAUACUUCGCGUUCAGUUCAUAUAUGGCUUUAGGAGCAUAGAAUUAAUGUUAUGUCUUGGCUUGCCCGAUCGCCGGACCCUAGUCCAGUUGAAAAUUUGUGGGCAAUCGUUGAGAAGUCAUUGGGUGGAAAAAAGUCGAAAUAAGGACGAGUUGUGUCGAAAACUUCAAGAGGCUUGGUGUGCAAUACCGACAAGCACUUGUCGCAAAUAAGUGGAAUUAAUGCCUCGAAAAGUAUGUGCGGUGAUGGCAAAUAAGGGCUUUUCGACAAUAUAUUGGUUUUGACCACAAAUAGAAUUGAAAUAUGAAAUAAUUUCCAUUUUUCAAUUUUUUUUCGUGUUUCUUUAUUUUUUGUAUUUAAACAAAAAAUCUUGUUUUAAUUAAUUGAUUUAAGUUCCUGAUACUGUUAAUAUUAUAUUAAUAAUUUCUUAUUUUUUAAAAACAAAUAAAAAUAUGUGUUUUAUAAUUUGUUUUUAAAAUAAGAAGAAGUGGUCUUAUUGUUUUGUCCAUCACUGUAUUCCAAAUUUAACGGACAAGAGAAGCUUAAAUAAAAUAAUAAAUAAAGAGAAUGUGACAUUCGCUCACAAAUCAAACACAACAAUAAAACAAUUAUUCACCAACACAAAAACCAAAAUAGAAAAAGAACAACAAUAUGACAUAAUUUAUAAAAUUGGGUUGAGACAACAAACAAAUCAUUGGAGACGAGACUAAUAGAACACAAAGCGGAAUCUACUGGGUUAUAACAACAUACACUCCUGCUCAAAUUUAACGCACAUCCUAUUUAUUUUUCAGAAAAGUCCUAUUAUUACUUUAUGUCAUAGUAUCAUGGUUAUUUCCUCAAAUGAGACAGGAGUUAUCUUAAAUUCAAGGUAUGGAAUAAAAUGUUUGUGGGGAAGAUUUAGGGAGAGAUUUGCUGAAGUGUCUGUCAUUCCGCGAACCUUUUACAGUAGUCAUAAAUUUUCAUUAGAGUAAAAUCUGCUUUACAACACCUACGGAGUUAGUGAGCCUUCCUAGACCUACUUUAAGUAUCCAAAGAUACUUGACUGAUGUCCUCAACAGCAACCGGUUCCGAUCACCAUUAUAUUUGGUCCACAGUUUAGUCUGAUGCACGAUAAUGCAUGCUAGAGUGGUUUGAGAAUAUCUUCAAGAUUUCAAUAUGCCGACUUUUGAUUGACCACACAGAAAUCCAGAUUUGAAUCCAAUAGAACAUGUCUAGGAAAUAUUGAAAAUAUACAUUCGCGACCGAAAUCGACCUCCAAGCAGUGUUGAUCAACUGAAAACUACAGUGAAAGAAGUGUUACAACAAAACUUUCAAAAGUUAGUUAGUGGAAUGAACAGACGACUCCAGGUUGGCAUAUGCGCUAGAGAAGACAAUACCAAGUAUUGAAUAAAAUUAUUGGAGAGAACUGUCACUUGCUUUCAUUUUUUCAAAUUUUUGUUCUUAAAACCCUUGUAUAUAUAAACUAUAGUACUAUCAUGAAUUCAAUCGACUGAAGCGCCGUCUGGUUCAAGAGAGCGGACCUAUUCCUGGAAUGAUUUAGGCAGGAGUGGGGGUUGGGGAACUAAGAAUAAUCAGAUAAUAAAGGAGUCACCAAAAUAUUGGAAUAUUAUUUAAAUAUUGGAAUAUUAUUUAAAUUUUCAAUUUGGGAGAAAUGUCACUAUUUAGCUUUGAAGAUAGAGAGAUAGAUAUAAAGAUAGAGAGAUAGAGUUGUUUAUUAAAAAUAAAAAACAAAAACAAAAACGUACAACCACGUUUGCCCAUAAGUAAUUUUUUUUUUUUUGUAAUUAAACAAUUUAGAUUUCUAAGAAAUUAUUUUGUUUUAAAAUUAAUUAAAAAUUGUGGAAUUAAAUACACAUUUCAAAAAAAAAAAAAAGGAAAAUAUAAAAAAGUUAUAAAAUUCUCCCAUCGGAAUAUGAUGUCAAAAAACAUUUAGGCCCAUUUGCUGAAACGAGUCUUAAAUAUUUAAGUAAAUCAUAAAGGCCUAAGUUUCACAUACCGGUUUGCACGAACUUAAAAGUAACCCCUAAAUCUGACUAAGUUUAACAUUAUUUAGGAUGAGGAAAUAGUAGAUCAUAAGGGUUUUAUGUUCUUCUUAAGCAAUUUUAACUGCGAAAAAAGAAAAAAAAACACCCCUUAAAAAUGAUUUUGGGUGUAAAGUGAACAAUAAUUAUAAGUUUAAGAACGGUUAACUUACUUUAUACGUGUUAACUAGUAGCAGAUGGUACAAUUUGCCGCACAAAUUCGUAUACAUUUUUUAACAUUUUGCUGUCAAAAUUUUCACACACAAUACAAACAAACACAAUGACACACAAAUACAUACACAAAAAUAAAUCUUUCAAAUUAAUAAUUUGUUUUUUAUUGAAUUAAACACCAUUUAUUUUACCGCUUUCACUAAUAUUCAUUUUUUCUUCAAUAAAAAUAGACAGAAUAACAAAAUUUCUUGAAUUAUUUUCCGUAAAUUGUUCAAAAACAAUUUAAAUUAACUGACGUUUGUGUCGAUUUGACAAUUUGAUUUGAAGCUCUCAGCGAUUUCUCGCAUGAAAGUAAAUCAAUGCUAGGUUUAACAUAAAUAUUUUUUAGCAACUUGGAAUAAACUAAGUAAAACAGAAGUGCUAUGUUCGACCUAGCUAAGAUCUAAAUUUAUGAUCCGUAUGAGCAAAUGGGCCUUAAUAUUUUUUUAAUUUAAUUCAGAUUUGAAUUUUUCUUGGCAACGAAAAUUACAUAACCAUCAGAAACAAAGACAACAAGUUCUUAUAUGUGUAAAAUAUUUAUUCGCAUCUUCUCUAGUAAUUGUAUUAGUUUAUCUACUUGUUAUUAAUGUAAACUUUACGUUAAAUCAAUUCAUACUUUGUAUUAAGAAAUUUUGUGAAAAAAAAUUUAUACCAAACUAUGUUAUUACUUCUUAUAAAUGUAAAUAAAAAUCACACUUACUUACUACUUACUUACUUUCUAGUAAUUGCGUUUUAAACUAAACACAUAAUAAUGAAACCUCUAAUUUAAAAAUUGAUUUCGAAACAUUUCGUCAUAUCUAUAGAUGAUUGUAUUUAAAUGUAUGUAUUUCGCAUAAUGAUAAUAAUCUACUUAAAUGUUUUAAUUAAAUUUGACGAAUGUCUCAAUCACGUGUGAAUUAAAAUUUAAAAUUGUAUUCUUCUUUGGAAAUAUUUUUUUUUUGUAUUCUUCUUUUUUAAAUAUUUUUUUCUUGUUUCCUAGGUGAUUGCUGUCGAAUAGAAUAUUUUGUUUUGAAAACUUGAAUACAUUUUUGUUUUGGAAUUUUCGUUUGAUAUUUUCUUACGCAAUGUUGCAACAUUUAACUUUAACUCUAAUUUAUUUUAUUAAUAUAGAAAUAGAGCAAGUUAUGCUAUAUCAUUAUAUUACCUUUGUUUCUAACAAAAGAUUUUGUUUUCUUGAUUACAUUUUAAAGAUUUUAAAAGAAGAAACUUAGUUCUUUAAGAAACCGCUACAAAUGUAAUUAUAAAAAAAUAUCACGCAAGAUGACAUAACCUCAAAAACUGUUAAAAAAGGGUAUUUUUGAUUUUCUAACGGUAAUGUCUCAAAAACUUGAUGUGAUGGAAUUUUUUUGAUUUCGGAUUUGAGUUCAGCAUACGAAAAACCAUUAGGAAAGUAUACCCUGACUUCUAUAAAAAAAAAAACUUUUUGAUUGGUGAAAUCGAAUUGGGCAGAAAAAAUGAACGGACUUAGAUUCGAAUAUCUGAAGAUCUAAAAAUGACACUAAUUUGAUUGAAAUGCCGUUAAAAAGAGGCAUAUUUCUUCUAAAAAUAGAGCCAUUAUUUGAGUUUCUACCAUUAUUUUUAACAAAAACGUGUGAAAAAGUACGUAAAAGUACGUUUUUUCACAAAUUAUUAAGCUCAUAAAAAACGAAUAGCUCGAUAGAAAAUUUUAAAUGGGUAAUUUUCUUAUUUUCAAUUUUCUCGGAUAUUAUAAGGCAUAGAAGCAUAUGGUUUUCAGUAUUUGAUAAGAAAUUGAUUGAGGCAGUUUAUUUCAUUGAUUUAUUUCAUAUUUAAAUUUACAGUCUUGGUUAAAAUAGUAUUUAAUGUGUUUUUUUUUUACUUUUUUUUCCAAAUUUUGACUUUGAAGUUGAUUAUUUCGAGAACAAUUAAUUGCAAUAAUUAGAAUCAAGUGUACAAUUCUGGCUUUUAAAAAAGGUAUCAUUUAUAACUAAAAUUGCCCCUCCCGACUAAACGGGGGGAGAUGGACCCCCCUCAGAUAGUAAAAAAUUAUUGUAUUAAACUCCUCUACAAAAUACCGUUGUCAAUUCUUGUCGUCUAAGAACUUUUGAUUUUUAUUCCAAAUUGUCGUCCCGAUUAGAAAUACAAAAAUAUGAAUAGCUUUUGAAAAGGAGCAGCUAGGAUUUCAAUUACAACGGAUUUUGAACGUAUAAUCAUCAACAAAUACAACCCAACUUGCAGUUUUUGUCGACAUUUUUGUGCAACCUAUCGAUGCUUCCUGCCCACCGUGUGUGUACAACUGAUUAUUCUAGAAAUGUUGAUUUUUUUAAUAAAAAAUUUGUAUACUUAUGUUGUGUUGAACUUUUUUUUAUUUUAAGAUUUUUGUUCAAUGUUUGAGCUUUUUAUUUAUAAGUUGGUAUUAUGGUAUAUAGUCUUUUACAGUUUUCUUAUAACAGAAGGUUUAAAACUUGACAAAAAUCAUACAAUUUUAGAAAACAUUUAACAUUUUGUUAUAUCAAAAACUAACAACCUUCCUUUGAAUUUCAUCUGCCUCGAUGACGCUCCCCUUUAUUAUUUAGUUUUUAGCUUUAUUUACUUUAUAACUCAAAAUGAUGCAGUUUAAAACUUGUUUUAAUAUGUAUUAUCAAUUUAAAUUUUAAAGUAAAAUCUAUAAUAAAUAAUAUGCAAUACAAGAAAAAUUUAAUGUUGCAACACUGUCUUAGAAUAUAUCAAACAAAAGUCCCAAAACAAAAAUCUAUUUAAAUUUGCAAAAAUAAAUUAUUUGAUUCAAAAAUACUCAAAUCACUAUCACCUAGGAAACAAGAAAUAAACAAAGCGUUGUAAACAAAAAAUAUUGUUGUUAACAUUUCUCCUUUCCUAUUUCCAGGCUGUCGAAAUUCAAACAUAGGAUUUCGGUUUUUUCUCUUUAUCCUAUUAAAUUGAUAAAAGUAUUUUUCUCCCUCUUACACGCGUAUUUUAUUCCUUCAUUCUACCUUUCAAAGCUGGAAUAAAACUAUCGCAGCGCACCCUAGUUAAAUGAAGCGGACCUAAUAAAUUCACGUUCAUGAUAGUAUUAUAUGUAGUUUACUAGCUGACCCGGCGGGCUUCGUUCCGCCUUUCCUAGUAUUUAUUUUCAAAUUUUAGCCCUGUAAUGUGUAAAACUUUUCCUAUACAAAAAAAAACGGUUCACUCGGUUCGGUUGAUACAUAUGUGGAGCAUAAAUAUUUUGGCCAUUUAGGAAAUUCAAUUGGCAGAAAUUCAAAGUGACAGAUCAAACAAAAUAUUUUUUACUAUUUUGAAAUGUUUUAAAUUUCUGUAUUUUUAUCCAAUAUAGCUAGAACUGCAUCUAAACACAAAGUCAAACAAAGUAUAUAAAGUAAAUUAAAGUAAAAAAUAACAAAAACAAUUUUAUUGAUGUGACAUUUAAAAAUUUAAAUUAUUUGAAAAAUUAGAAUUUUUUUGUACUUUUUUCACUUUGUGUUUCUAUAUGUAGUUCAGGCUUAAAGGCUCUUGUUUAUAAAAUUUUGUUUUGUCCCAAAUUAUAGUUUGGUUUGACGUUUUGCAAUUGUAUAUUGCAGUGUGUGUGAAAAUGUAUGUGAAUCCGUCUCAAAAUGAGUUUCAGAUCGAGUCUUCCGGAAUCUUCCGGAAAAGUAGCAAAUUUUUUUCAAUGCAGAUUGAUUCGACUGCAGAUUGAAUUUUUGGUUGUUUGGAAUUCGAAAUAAGGUUCUUAAAACAUUUUUGCAAGUUUUCAGUGGUAUUUUAGUUAGAAAAAUGAGUUUACUUUUAAACUUUCACUUUAGAACUUAUGUAAGUAAGAUUAUAAAAUGCUCCCUUCUGUAGUGCAGCACAAAAAGUACCACAAUUAGUUUUCAACUCCUUCAAACUUUUUUCCAUAAAUAUUUCAAAAUGGCUUACGAAAAAUUCUGCACUUCAAAAAUUGGGCUUUUAGAAAAUACGAAUUUUCUGAAUUUUCAAUUUGUUUGACAUUACCUUACGUCACAUAUUUUUUCAAAUUUCAUUCAUUUCUUCUAAUUUCUUUUAUUUCCUUUUUCUAUCAAAAUGUAAAAUGUAUAAAUAGAAGGCUUAGCCCAAAAUCUUUUUUCUUGAUAAUCAUCUACGCCUCGUGGCUACAAUCGAAAUUUGUAUACUAAGUUAGUAAGUUUAAAUUUUAUUACAUUGGAUUAUUUUGAAAUGAAAGUUCGAAUUUUACACUUAAAAAAUACGACUCUUUACAAAGGACGCCGCACAUUUUGUAUGGGAAGUGGCCCUCUGUGAAAUUGUCUGAAAUUUUAGUAUGUUGUUCUCUUGAAGCCCGUUAUCUUGAAAACCCGAAGUGAUGGGGCAAAAUAGACUUCGGAUUUGGUUUCAGCGACCCUAAAAACCUCUUAUUUAUACUAAAAAAUAACGCAAAACACAAUAUAGAGAGUUACUAUCAUAAUAAAAAAAGCCCAUAUUUUGAUCAGGAGCUUCAAGAGAACAACAUACUAAAAUUUCAGACAAUUUCACCGAGGGCCACUUCCCAUACAAAAUGUGCGGGGUCCUUUUAAUAAUGUGUACCUAUGUUAAAUUUUAAAUAAAGCUGAUGAUCUUUUUUUUUGACAUGAUAACGUCUUAUAAAUCGAUGAAACCCGGCUGCAUACACGACAAAUAUGACACAUUCUCCCGUUUCAUUACCCGUUACCAGUGUGCUUUAGAUUAUAAUUUCAUCUUAAAAUCCAAGUAACAUGAAGUCAAGUCCAACUUAAGACAGUUGAAUGAUUUUAAACUCCAAAUAUUAAAUUGGCUUAUAUCUUGACAUCAGCGUCACCUUCCGGGUCCAUUUAUAAAAAAAAAUUGUCUCGAAUGAACCUUAUCACACACACAAAAAUCUAUACAGUCUUUCAAACUCCAAAUAUGGAAUUUCACUAUAACUUGACAACAGCGAUACUUACCGGGUCCGUAUCACACACAUAAAAUUUUAAAAAGAUCUGUCAAGUCCUUCGUUUAAAAUAUGCAAUUUUCUUAAGAUUUGACAACAGCGCAAGCUACCGGGCCCAAUUAUUUAACAAAACAUGUGUCCAAUGAACCUUAUCACACACACAAAAUUUCACAAGUCGAUCGUUAUUAAACAAAAUCUGUCUCGAAUGAACCUUAUCCUUCACAAACAAUUUCACAAAAAUCUGUCCAUUCAUUCCCCAAACAUAGAAUUUGCCUAUAACUUGACUACAGCGCAACCUACAGGGUCCAAUUAUAACACAAAACCUGUCUGGGGCAAACCUUAUCACACACAAAAUUUCACAAAAAAUAUCCAGUCAUUGAAUUAAACUUGACAACAGCGCCACCUACCGGGUCCAAUUAUAACACAAAACCUGUCUCAGAUGGACCUUAUCGCACACACAAAAUUUCACAAAAAUCUGUUCAGUCUUUCGACCAGAAAUACGGAAUUUGCAUAUAGCUUGACAACAGCGCCACCUACCGGGUCGAAUUAUAACACAAAACCUGUCUCGGAUAGACCUUAUCGCACACACAAAAUUUCACAAAAAUCUGUUCAGUCAUUCGACCCCAGAUACGGAAUUUGCAUAUACAGCCAUGGACAGAGAAAUAGCACACUAUUGAGAAAAAUCAUGCGAAUCGAAUUUUAGAUAUUAGGAAUGCUUUUUAUAAAUUUUUUUCUUUUGGUAUAUUAUCGAAAUAAAGUGAUGGAGACAAAAAUAUCUUAAAAGUACCGUUAUUUUCUCUAAUUAUUUGCACUAGCAAUAUAAUGCUUUUUCUGUCUCUUUCGCUAGUGGACACAGAAAUAGCACACAUUUGUUUAACAGUUAAGUUUUUAUUCCGCGUUCAAAAGUUGUAGACGAAAAUGCAUUCAUUUUAUUGCUACUAUUUAAUUAACAAGUAUUUUUGAAAAAAAUAGGCAGAAAACAUCAUUAAACUGCGAAAAAAGGAAGAAUUACUAGUCAAGGGAAAAAUCCUUCUUAAUUAGCUUAAACUCUAAAUUUUUCGAAUAAAUGAUGGAUAAAGCCAUUUAUUUGGAAAGAGCAAAUAGAAAUUUAAACUCUGAAACUAAAUUGCGUUAACUUCUUCCCCGCAAAACUUCCAUACGAGUGGAUAGAGCGAUCACAAAGAAACGCAAAUGUGGGCCUUUUAAGUCAUCUCGCACGAUUUUGCCCGAAGUAAAUAUAGAA